rnacentral:rRNA from 1 species
GACGUAGGGCGCGAGCGUUGUCCGGAUUUAUUGGGCGUAAAGAGCUCGUAGGCGGUUUGGUAAGUCGGGUGUGAAAUCUCCACGCUCAACGUGGAGGGGCCACCCGAUACUGCCAUGACUCGAGUCCGGUAGGGGAGUGUGGAAUUCCCGGUGUAGCGGUGGAAAUGCGCAGAUAUCGGGAGGAACACCAGUAGCGAAGGC